CUCCUUCAAUGUCACAAUCGCAUCGCUAAUCAUCUGCAGCAACCAAAAAAAAAAAGUUUAACUUCAAAGCAUAAUUCAACCAAACCAAAAACAUACAUGAACAAAACUGAAAAAUGAAAAUAUAUGAAAAACUCCAUUAUCAAUUACCUCAAAGUAAGGAGGAUGAGAGGAAGCAGUUUUCUUCCUGGGGGCAGCGGGUUUUUUAGCCUUAGGCUCUUUCUUUGAUUUUGCAGACUUGGCUGGAGGGUUAAUCUCCUCCUCCGUGACCGGUUCAGGAGCGGCGGGUUCAAUUGCAACCUCGUUUGCUACAACUGGUUCUUCAGUGGCCAUUUUCGAAGCAGAGAAAUGGGAAUCGAGAGAAGGUUAGGGUUUAGCG
rnacentral:lncRNA from 1 species